CCUCACUGCUAUCGGGAUGGGACUAAGACAUGCUAGUCGAGCGCCUUGAGCUAUGGCAAGGCGCGGCGCACAGCUCAGUAGCACGUGGCUAACCUGCCCUUGGGACAGGGACAACCCCGGGAAACUGGGGCUAAUCCCUGAUGGGUGAGAACUCCUGGAAUGGAUUUUCAUCGAAAAGGUGUUGAAGCAUGCUUUCAACGGCGUCCGAGGAUGGGGCCGCGGCCGAUCAGGUUGUUGGUGAGGCAACGGCUCACCAAGCCUUUAACCGGUACGGGCCGUGAGAGCGGGAGCCCGGAGAUGGGUACUGAGACAAGGACCCAGGCCCUACGGGGCGCAGCAGUCGCGAAAACUCCGCAAUACGCGAAAGCGUGACGGGGCUAUCCCGAGUGCCGUCCGCUGAGGAUGGCUUUUCCCCAGUGUAAUGAGCUGGAGGCAAUAAAAGGAGGGCAAGGAUGGUGUCAGCCGCCGCGGUAAAACCAACUCCUUGAGUGGUGAGGAUUAUUAUUGGGCUUAAAGCGUUCGUAGCUGGCCUGACUAGUCCCGCGUUAAAUCCAACGACCUAAUCGUUGGGCUGCGGGGGACACGGUCAGGCUUGGGGGCGGGAGAGGUUAGCGGUAUUCCCGGGGUAGGGGUGAAAUCUUAUAAUCCCGGGAGGACCAGCAGUGGCGAAGGCAGCUAACCAGAACGCGCCCGACGGUGAGGGACGAAAGCUGGGGGAGCGAACCGGAUUAGAUACCCGGGUAGUCCCAGCCGUAAACGAUGCAGGCUAGGUGUUGGCGCGGCUACGUGCCGCUCCAGUGCCGCAAGGAAGCCGUUAAGCCUGCCGCCUGGGAAGUAAGAUCGCAAGAUUGAAACUUAAAGGAAUUGGCGGGGGAGCACCACAAGGGGUGAAGCUUGCGGUUU
rnacentral:rRNA from 1 species